CCAAUCAGAGAGCUUUAAUACAAUCAUCCAAUCAGGAGACAGAGUCAGGAUCUGACCCCAAUUCAAACUGAUUGGCGCGGCUUAAUGAAUCAAUUGCCGCUUUCAACCAGAGGUUUAUUUUUCCUCCCCCCUUCCCAAUGCAAAUAAUAAAAAUAAACCUCUGGAACCAGGGUAGCAAUAUUGUUACCGUUGUCAAUAUAAACUCGCGUUUUCAACUGUUGCGGACCAUCGUAAAAAUCUCGCGUGGGUUCCUCGCACGGUCCGCCGGAAUUAGUGAUUUUUUAAAAAUAAAAAUUUUUAAAAAUUCAUGCGGCUCGAAAAAUGGAUGCGGGCGCUGAUGAUAAACCGGGAAAUUUUUUCCAUGGCCUAAAACAACGCAAUUUUGAGACGUACGCCAAAAAGAUUUUCGGUUUUGAACACUUUUCAUCGCAAAUACGUGACAUAGAAAAAAUUGUUAAUUUGUACACAGGAUUGUUACAACACCACUUAGAGGAUGUUCCGUUACACAGUUUUGAGUAGAUUUCUGUUACAAAUGCAGUAUUAGUGGUGAAGAAUAAUAACUGAGUAGCAAAGCUGUGACACUGACAUUUUCUGGAUCAUAAUAAAGUUUGGUAGUCUACAUAUAGGGUGGGGGACAUAUAGACUAAACAGUAUAUUUAUCUCAUUUAUUGUUAGG